GAUGAACGCUGGCGGCGUGCCUAAUACAUGCAAGUCGAGCGAACAGACGAGGAGCUUGCUCCUCUGACGUUAGCGGCGGACGGGUGAGUAACACGUGGAUAACCUACCUAUAAGACUGGGAUAACUUCGGGAAACCGGAGCUAAUACCGGAUAAUAUAUUGAACCGCAGGGUUCAAUAGUGAAAGACGGUUUUGCGGUCACUUAUAGAUGGAUCCGCGCCGCAUUAGCUAGUUGGUAAGGUAACGGCUUACCAAGGCAACGAUGCGUAGCCGACCUGAGAGGGUGAUCGGCCACACUGGAACUGAGACACGGUCCAGACUCCUACGGGAGGCCGCAGUAGGGAAUCUUCCGCAAUGGGCGAAAGCCUGACGGAGCAACGCCGCGUGAGUGAUGAAGGUCUUCGGAUCGUAAAACUCUGUUAUUAGUGAAGAACAAAUGUGUAAGUAACUAUGCGCGUCUUGACGGUACCUAAUCAGAAAGCCACGGCUAACUACGUG
rnacentral:rRNA from 1 species